AGCAGCCGCGGUAAUUCCAGCUCCAAUAGCGUAUAUUAAAGUUGUUGCAGUUAAAAAGCUCGUAGUUGAAUUUCGGGAUCAGUACGCCGGUCGUGCCUUCGGUAUGCACUGGUGUCACUGGUUUCUCCCUUCUGAAGAACCAUCAUGCCAUUCAGUUGGUGUGGCGGGGAAUCAGGACUGUUACUUUGAAAAAUUAGAGUGUUUAAAGCAGGCUCGCGCUUGAAUACAUUAGCAUGGAAUAAUGAAAUAGGACGUUUGACCCUAUUUUGUUGGUUUCUAGGAUCGACGUAAUGAUUAAUAGGGAUAGUUGGGGGCAUUAGUAUUCAAUUGUCAGAGGUGAAAUUCUUGGAUUUAUUGAAGGCUAACUACUGCGAAAGCAUUUGCCAAGGAUGUUUUCAUUAAUCAAGGACGAAAGUUAGGGGAUCGAGGACGAUCAGAUACCGUCGUAGU
rnacentral:rRNA from 1 species